UCUCCUUAUUUAAUUUACAACACUUGGUAAAUGUUUCUAAUUUUUGAAGUGAUAUUUGAUCCUUUGGGGUAUUUCUAUAUAACAUUAAAUAUAGUAUAUGAGUCUCUUUCUGUUCAUUUACAUUGCACACCUAGGGAGCUACACAUCUAUAUUGCAAUUUUUAUUUACGAAUAUAUUUCGGUUUACUUUGCAUAUAUUUAGCACAAUCGUAACAGAAUUUGAUUUUAAUGUGCUCCAAUCUGUACGAUUAGAAAAUCACUAUGCCUAAGAAUAUUGCUAUAUAGACCCCGCUCAGAAAUAAUUUCGAUAUCUUCACUUAAUUGCAGAUUUUCAGCGAUUUCUUCUAGGCUUUUCAGUUAAGCAUAAGCAUAUACUUCUUCAAUUAAUUGGUCUUCAUAAUUUUAAUGCACUUUAUAAAGAACGUGGGACGCGGAAUUGGUGAUAGCAUUCGCAUCAUAUUCAUCGACAUAAUCAUAAUCCGAUUACAACUACGGCAUUCAGGAGAUGCAUACGGCGGGGUACCAACAUAUUGAAGUACCCAUACAAGCUAACCAGAAGAAGACAAGAGACUCUGUCCUUCGAGCGGAUUGGAUUUUACAAUCUUAGAUUGAAAAUUAAUUAGUGAAAGUUUCUGCUAGGCGGUGGCUGCCUUUGGUUACUAAUUAAAAAUAAUACAAAUAAUAAGUUUAUCAACACUUUUUUCAUGCUACUACCGAAUGUUGGUUUAUAAAUUUUCCAAGGAUAACUUACCGUUAAUUUUAUAUGAAUAAAAUGUCAUGACUCUUAAUAUAACUUUUAAAAACCCUUUUGAUUUAUUACUGAUCAAUGUUGAAUAAGAAUAAAAAUAAUUGAAAAGUUAAAAUAAAUUUACAUCUUUAGGGAUGCUACCAGAUUAAAAAUAUGUUUUUUUUUAAAUAGCACAGCAGCCGCAACACUGUCCGAUUUGCAGAAAAAUAAAUCAAGGAGCUUUUCAAUUAAAGUGUUUUACAAUGGACCGUGCUGCUUUGGAUAUAGGGUCGCCUUUAGUCACCACUGGCAACAAAUAUUUCCGAAUUCAGAGACUCGUCAUUAGUGCCAAAAAUUUA